rnacentral:ncRNA from 1 species
CAAAAAGCGAUGACGAAGAAAAGUAGUACAGACAGACGGCACAGAGAGCAGGCGGCGGUGGGAGUCCUGCGCGGAUAUCUGUAGGAAAGAACACUUCCGAGCUGCAAGCUGAACGCAGGAUCUGUAAGUAGGCGAGCCGGAGUCCCACGUUACAGGGAUAGCGUUUCAUGGGAACGCGAAAAAGGGGCCGUACAAGGAAGUGCGGCAAGUUAGGUGGCACCGCGGAUAUAGCAGCAGCUAUUCGUCCUAUCU